UACGGAGGGUGCAAGCGUUAUCCGGAUUCACUGGGUUUAAAGGGUGCGUAGGUGGGCAAGUAAGUCAGUGGUGAAAUCUCCGGGCUUAACCCGGAAACUACCAUUGAUACUAUUUGUCUUGAAUACUGUGGAGGUUAGCGGAAUAUGUCAUGUAGCGGUGAAAUGCUUAGAUAUGACAUAGAACACCAAUUGCGAAGGCAGCUGGCUACACAAAUAUUGACACUGAGGCACGAAAGCGUGGGGAUCAAACAGG
rnacentral:rRNA from 1 species